UAAAAGAGUUAGUGGGAAGUUGGGCAAGUUUCUACACAGAUGCCUUACUACAGAUGCCAUAAAUCUGCAUCCAAAACUACACAAAUACAAAGUCAUUCUCACCAGAGGCUCAUGCAGCAGGGGCAGCUUCCAUCCCCGUCUUUACAAAGGCGACAUCUGUGGCCAUGCACACAACUGCUCCAGCCUUGGAAAGCAGAGUCCCCUGCCUCACUCUUCCACGGAGAUUACCAGACUGCUUUUUACCAAACACUUAAGCAAAUCACUCCAGCUCUGCUCAAAACUCAAAACCACAAAGCGAAGCAGCAACAACCAAGGAGCACUGGCCGAGGCACAUCCCUCCUGCUGGCUGGCUGGUCAUGCCAAACCAAAGCAAACAAUCCUAAUCUGGGAAUACAUCACAUUUCACUUCACUCUUCAAUAAGCCCCUCUCACUCAGGGCCAAACAGCUUGCCCAGCUGUUUGAGCACCCAGGAUAAGAUGAGGAAAAAGGAUGUUCCUCUCAAAGACAAGGCUGUCAGCACGGCCAGUACUGCUGCUCCAGUCUAAAGAAUGGCAACAUUUUUCUCACGCUUCUAAAAGCUCUGAGGUGGAGGGCAAGAAGAAAUAACUUUCAAAGUGGUAUGCCACCAGGCUUGUCUCCCUCAGUAAAUCUCCCAUCCCUGUUUUUCAUACUCCAUGCAGGAAACCCCCAUGCUCCAGUACUAUUGAGCAGAGUAUCUCUUAUUAUACCAAAGAGAGACGGGUCUGUGGUGAAGGACAGUUAAUACAGUAAAAUGGAAAUGCAUUCUUAAUCUAAAUUACCUAUUUCUUAGACUAAGUUACCUAGUUCUUACGCUGGGAAAUGAGACAGAGAGAGACUAUGGUGCUGCACUGCUGGGAUUCCAAUGCCCAAAUGGUACAGCUCCAUCACACAAGCCACUUUUAAAUCCAAGUAAUUGGAUUCAGAAGAAACCUAUGACUGACCAUCACUGACUGCUUCUCAGAAGGCCACAGGAAACCAAAAGGGACCAUUUUCCACAUUUUUCAUCUUAAAAUAAGAAAAUCUGGAGGAAAUAAACCAACUCAACAAGUGCA
rnacentral:lncRNA from 1 species